GGUUCCUAGUGUAGUGUUAUCACGUUCGCUUCACACGCGAAAAAGGGCUCCGGUUCGAUCCCGGGCUGAACCA